rnacentral:lncRNA from 1 species
AGCACCAUGCUCAUAUCUAGUAAGUACACUGAAGCACAUUAUUGCAGAAUCCAGCACUGUCAGAGGUUUAUUUGUUAGAGAUUUCACUUUUUGGUGGGAACACAGUUAAUAAUCUAAAUUUUAUCACUUCAGGGACUGUUUUUACAUAAUUUAAUAAAGCAAUACAGAACGAAGGACUUUCACCCUCCAACUAAGGGGCCCACAUGACUUGUUAAGAGUUAUUUCAAAUAGGGAAGCCUUGCACAAAGAGGUAAGGGAACCAUUCGAAACCAUUAGGGAGUUUUCAUCAGUACAUCACUGUAAUUCAUAUUCAAGAGUCACGAGUCACGACAAAUCAUUUUGUUAAUUAGAAAUGUAUUAAAUGAUGUAAUAGGAAAGGAUUAGAAGUUUUUGCCAGAGAAAGUGAUAAAAGAAGGCUUUAAGAAUUGGUGAGGCUCUUUGACCAUUAUAUCCCGAAUCUUCAUUAUCAAUGAGAAAGAAACAUUUUUGCUGAUAUUGAGCUCUUUUAUCCAUCUGGCAGCAGCAGAAGUCUGCUGUAACUUUCUGGUUCAGUUAAUAUCACUUUCUUUAUUCCUCACUUAUUUCAUCUGCACAUGCAACUUGAACCCUAGCAUCAUACCUUGCAACUCUUUCAUCCAUUCAGAUAUCAGAAGGGAAUUAUACCUUACAUAUCAUUGCAUAAAGAAUAUCUAAAUAGAAAAAAUGGCAGCACAAGAAGUUAGACCGAAGAAGAUAAGCAGAGAUGCAAAGGAUGAUUAAGCAACCUAUACAAGAUAUUUAACAUCUACAGCUUAAAGCAUGUCCGUAAACCUGUGCUGCAUCAUAGAAAUAAACCACAUAAUGGAUCCCCUUGAAUAUUUCGAUAGGAAAACUCAAUGACGAACAACUUAAGGAGUUCAAUAAACCAUUUCAUGAAAUGUUAAGAAACUUGGUUUCAAUAUUGGUAGCAGCCAGACUGCAUGAAUUUCAAUUGCAGCAGUUUUGGUAGUUCACUGGUUUCACUUCAAGCUUCAAUAAUUCUUGUAAAUUAAGAAAACCGAAGAAAAUAUCAACCAAAAUAUUUUAGAAGGUGAA